UCACAGGGCCUCGAAUGACCCACCAGAUGGCUGCAUUGGCAUUGAUGUCCCAGCACCUACAGGCAGAAUGAAAGUGCCUGAUGAGAGCCCACAAAGUAACGAAAACAGCUGGAGAACCUGAGGAUUAACAACAAAGGGAGAAAAGGAGAAAGGUCUCGAUUUUCAACACACAUUUGAUGACCUGGACAACUGAUUACCUUAACCAAGAAAAUUUUAAGUCGUCUGUGUGGUUCGCAUUCAGUUUCUAAUGGACGUGCUCAUCAACACUCUGGACAGCAAGAGCUUGAUUUUCAGAACCCUAGCAGCCAGGAUUCUACCCCUCACCUCAGCCUGGAGAUGAAAGGAUUCUUCUCUGAAGGAAGUGAACAACUCGGGACAAAGGGUCUAUAGAUAGGGAUGCUGAGGACACAGUGGUCACCUCCAGUCUCCCUUAAGAGAGGAUCCCUCCUCCCCCACAGAGCCUUCAUCAGCUCUGAAGCGACUCAUUCUUAAAUAUGAACAUAUGCCCAAAGUCAGCAACAUCUGAUAGGGACCAAAACAAUCAGAGACAAGGAACUUAGAGGAGAACAAGACCACAGAGAGGGCAGGCGGAGACUGAACAACACAACUCAAGGGAGCAGCAUCAGAGAGAGAAGAGAAAUGAUAGCAUCUUUGAGGCUGGAACAGGGCACUGGGAGAGGCAAAGAG